UACAGCGGUCCCGAGCGUUGUUCGGAUUCAUUGGGCGUACAGGGUGCGUAGGCGGCGGGGAAAGUCUGAUGUGAAAUCCUGGGGCUCAACCCUGGAACUGCAUUGGAUACUUCCUUGCUAGAGUACUGGAGAGGAAACUGGAAUUUACGGUGUAGCAGUGAAAUGCGUAGAGAUCGUAAGGAAGACCAGUGGCGAAGGCGAGUUUCUGGACAGUUACUGACGCUGAGGAGCGAAAGCAUGGGGAGCGAACAGG
rnacentral:rRNA from 1 species